UCAGACAAAAGCAGCUUUUCAUGACCAGAGUAGCCGCGACAAUGGAGGCCUCGGACUCGCUUAGAGGCCGCAGCGGACAGAAGCGACAAGGACGGCGGCCUGUAGGGGAAGUCAAGUUACGCUACAGGAGAUACAGGCCAUGCUAUAUGCUGACAUCACUCCAGCCACAGAUGACAGAUAGCCACGACGUCAUAAUGGGGACGACGGAAGAGCUGAACACCCUGCGAACUCCGCCACAUUUUCCGCAAAGAGAAUUCUUACACCUCUUUAACGACCGUCUUUGGUGUGAGACCCCCGAGGAAGACUCAAAGCUGAGCGCAGGACCGCAGGACGAAGCCAGAUUACUGAACGUGGGCUUGUUAGGCGAUCCCCGGUGAUGGAGUGCACAUUACACGCCCUGAUCCUUCUUAAAUGCCAACCAGAGUUUCCGGAACAUUCCGAAACAUUCCAGAGCCAGAGCUGGGUGGCAAGCACAGAGUGACUCCACAAGGCCCGUUAAUACCAGGAGAAGCGCAUGGGUUUCACACAAAGAGAAAGAGAGGGA